AUACUUUUGAAGCAACACUGGCAGAACAACAGACAACAACAACAACAACAACAACAACAACAACAACAACAGCAAAAACAUCAUCAUCAUCAUCAUCAUCAUCAUACUCGUCAUCCUCGGUAUCACCAACAUCAUCAUCAUCAUCAUCAAAAGCAAAUGGUAGAACUGGAUAUACAACUGGUCAAAUGGUUGGACUGGCUAUUGGCAUGCUCCUGACAGGUGUCCUCUUGGCCACAAUUAGUUUUAUACUCUACCGAAGACUGUUACCAAAUAAUCUUGCCACAAGACUGUUGAGUAACGAAAAUCUAUAAUACAGAAAAAUAACAAUUACAAUGAAAAUGAGAGUUUGGUACAGCUCACAGAGUAGGGUACCUCCCCCACCAAAAACAAAAGACCCUUGUAUUUUGAAGUCCUUUUUUCAUUUAUAUAUUUUUCAACCUUUGCUCAUAGGCAACAUCAGCAAGACAACUGUAUUGUAGUAAUAGUAGUAGUAGUAUUAAUAGCUCGCUGGGUUGAGAAUAAAAUACAGUGUCAGCAAAUCCUGGGGUUGAGGGUAUUGACUAACACAGGGGUUUUCAAACUUUUUGACUUGCGGACCCCUUUAUAUUUCAGGCUUUACCUUAGGGACCCCCUUAUAAACGCUUAUGAAAUUUAUACAUAAAUAUUUGCUUAAAAUAACAUAUAUUUUUACAUUUAUUUAUUUAACAGUAUUUAACAAAUAGGUUUAUUGUCAAUUAAAAGAUUUCGAUUAAAAACAUAUAUAAAAUGAAAUUGCCCAUAAAAAGUAUUUGCUGUCUACGGACCCCCUGUCUUGUCCUUGCGGACCGCAGUUUGAAAACCCCUGGACUAACACAACCACCCCUAAAAAAUGCCGGCCUUGUGCCAAAAUUCGAAACCACCAUUGCUAUUGUUAUUAAGGUGAUGAGCUGACAGAAUCAUUCGCAUGCUGGGCAAAAUGCAUAGUGACAUUUCGUCUGUCUUUACAUUCUGAGUUCAAAUGCUGCUGAGGUCGGGGUUGAUAAAAUAAGUACCAGUUAAAUACUGGGGUCAGUGUAAUUGACUUACACUCUUCCCCCAAACUGCUGCCCUUGUGGCAAAAUUUGAAACCAUUAUUAUUAUUAUUAUUAUUAUUAUUAUUAUUAUUAAGGCGGCAAGCUAGCAGAAUUGUUAGCAUGCGGGGCAAGAUGCUUAAUGGUAUUUCAUCUGUCUUCACAUUCUGAGUUCAAAUUCUGCUGAGGUCGACUUUGCUUUUCAUCCUAUUGGGGGGGGGGUCAUUAAAAUAAGUACCAGUUGAAUACUGGGUCAAUGUAAUUGACUAUCCCCGCCCCAAAAUUUCAGGCCUCAUGCCUAUAGUAGGAAGGAUUUAUUAUCAUUAUCAUUAGCAUGCUGGGAAAAAUGCUUAGUGGCAUUUCAUCCAUGUUUAUGAUCCUAUCGGGGGUUAGUAAAAUAAGUACCAGUCGAGUACUGGGUUGAUUUAAUCCACUAGCCGUCUCCCGGGAAGAUGCUGGCUUUGUGCCAAAAUUCGAAAUCGUUAUUAUUGUUAUUAUUUUGUCCAUUGCUUUGAGGAGAAAGGAGAGUAGUGCACAUGACUAUUUUUAGGGCCUUCAAGAAUGAUGGUGACAAUGGUGGGGAGGGGGGUAUUUGGAAGGGAGAAAAUUUCUCUGAAGGAACUUGUGCCGAAUUCUUGCAGUAAAAAUUUUGCUUGAUCAUGGGUCAUUAUGAAAUAACUAGGGUGGUUGUUGCAUUAACAGAAACGGUAGAGCACCAGAGUAAAUAAAAUCCUGGCAGAAUUUAGUCUUAUUCCUCUUUUAUCCAGGAAUAUUAAAUUUUACCAGGAGCACUUUUUGUUUUCUAUACAUCCACCUUUAUCUUUCUCUCUCUGUCUUUACUUCUCCCACUCUCUCUGUCUUUAUCUCUCUCCCCCCUCUCUCUCUCUCUCUCUGAGAGUGCUUGCCAAAUUUCUCUCACGUCCAAAAACAAAUAUGUAUAUGUUUUAUAAAAUUAAUAAAUUCUAACACACGAACAUUUUAAA